rnacentral:rRNA from 1 species
GGCGACGACGGGUAGCCGGCCUGAGAGGGCGACCGGCCACACUGGGACUGAGACACGGCCCAGACUCCWACGGGAGGCAGCAGUGGGGAAUAUUGCACAAUGGGCGAAAGCCKGAUGCAGCGACGCCGCGUGAGGGAUGACGGCCUUCGGGUUGUAAACCUCUUUCACCAGGGACGAAGCUAACGUGACGGUACCUGGAGAAGAAGCACCGGCUAACUACGUGCCAGCAGCCGCGGUAAUACGUAGGGUGCGAGCGUUGUCCGGAAUUAUUGGGCGUAAAGAGCUUGUAGGCGGUCUGUCGCGUCUGCUGUGAAAGACCGGGGCUUAACUCCGGUUCUGCAGUGGGUACGGGCAGACUAGAGUGUGGUAGGGGAGACUGGAAUUCCUGGUGUAGCGGUGAAAUGCGCAGAUAUCAGGAGGAACACCGAUGGCGAAGGCAGGUCUCUGGGCCAUUACUGACGCUGAGAAGCGAAAGCAUGGGGAGCGAACAGGAUUAGAUACCCUGGUAGUCCAUGCCGUAAACGUUGGGCGCUAGGUGUGGGACUCAUUCCACGAGUUCCGUGCCGCAGCUAACGCAUUAAGCGCCCCGCCUGGGGGAGUACGG